CAGCCGCCGCGGUAAUACGUAGGUGGCAAGCGUUGUCCGGAAUUAUUGGGCGUAAAGCGUGCGCAGGCGGUUAUAUAAGUCAGAUGUGAAAUCCCCGGGCUCAACCUGGGAACUGCAUUUGAGACUGUAUGGCUAGAGUGUGUCAGAGGGGGGUAGAAUUCCACGUGUAGCAGUGAAAUGCAUAGAUAUGCGGAGGAACACCGAUGGCGAAGGCAAUCCCCCGGACCUGUACUGACGCUCACGCACGAAAGCGUGGGGAGCAAACAGGAUUAGAGACCCCCGUAGUCCCUGUCUCUUAUAC
rnacentral:rRNA from 1 species